AUAGAUUCUACCAACUUGUUAGAUUACUGUUUGAUACAUAGUUGUUUUAUAAUCAAUAGUAAUAGCUAGGAAUGUGCACAUGUACUUUACACAUCGGACAUUUGUCCUUCAAAUUGCAAGAAUUUCAAAAUAGCACCUAUCAUAUCAAUUAUUUGCUGUAAUAAGUAAAAUUGAGAAUGGAAAUGGGGAAUGUGUCAAAGAGCCAAAAACCCGACCAUGGUACAAACAAAAGCCGAAAGCCACCAAUGGGUACUUGGAAAUAACUCCAAUCUGUAAUAUGUAAAACAGUUAUUUUCACGAAAGUGUAAUUAAAACAAAAAGAAGUCUAAAAGUAGAUAGCAAUCAUUUGGCAAACAUAUAUUUCGAAUGAAGAAG
rnacentral:lncRNA from 1 species